UGGCGGUCGCGCAUCUGCAUCAAUUCGCCCUUUAUCUUUGUGAUUUUUUUCCGUUUUAAGGCAUUAUGAGCGCUGACGGAAAGAUAGCAAGCUGAAGCGGAGUGUUUUAGUGACUGUUACCAACCGCGCUGUGUGAAAAGGUUGAGCCUGUACGAGGCGGCAGGCAAGGGAGUCUUUGUCGCGAU